UUUUGAGAUCGAGAAAGAGGGCAAGCGAUGUCGAAGAAGAACAAUCUCAAAACGAGGAAGAGGCAGCACGAUUUCGAGCUCAAGAGAGAGAAGGAGGAGAAAGAGAAAAGGGCGCAGAAGCUUCAAGCAAAGAAGUCCAAGAUGAAGGUCGAUGGCAGUGAAAAGAAGAAGAAGAAUUCGGGUGGGUUUCAGGUUGGGAAAAGAAAGCUGAAGACCAAAUUGUCGGCAUUGGCAAAAGCUAAAGCAGCACAAGCGAUGGAGGUAGAUAAUUAAGUGUCAGGUUACUUUUGUAUUUUUAGGCAUAUGCAAAACCAUGGUUGUCUGUUAUGAUAUAUUAAUCUUGAUGGUACUCUUAUAAUGACCUGGUUAAG
rnacentral:misc_RNA from 1 species